rnacentral:lncRNA from 1 species
ACGGUCCCCUUAAACUUCGAACCAAAGCGAACCCUUUCCUUAGGUUGCUGUUGGACAGGAACCUGGCUACAGAGGGAUGACUCUUCUGGAGCAUCCCCUCAGGGUAGGAGUCAGGGAGGAUGCGCCGCCGGCUAAGGCUUCAGUUCUUGGUGGCCUUGGCUUGCGGAUGCUGCCCCAUGCUCUCUGAUCGAUACCCCAUGUUCGCAUGCCCGGUCCUCUUUCCAGGGACACCACAUUGGCUGAGGACCUACACCUGUGAGCUGAUCUUAACUUGAUCAGCCCUGCCCAGAAGGACCCUGUUUAAAGGACUUCUAACAUCUUGCUCAUCUCUACACUGUGCACAAGGAUUUCAGAGCAGAAGAAAACAGGGGUAAGGUACCAUUUCACCCCAUCAGUUCAACAGCACCCAGGCAACAUGGCUUCCACUGUUGACUUUGUCUCCUGAGUAAGGGAGUGUUUGUCAGUUUGUCUUUAACUAACAUUCCUCUCCACCCAUCCACCCACUUUCCCUUCUAUAUAGUUUCUCUUUGAAUGAAGUUACUGGACAUAAUCCAUACAAAGGGCUGGGAUGCUAUGGCCCAUAUCACUGAGAUAGAAAGCGCUACAUGAAUUAUUUAGGAUUCUUCUGUGUGUAAAAUAUAUGUCUUUGCUAUUUUCCCCCAUAUUUAUUUAUAUCAGUGUGGGCUAACACUUUAUUUUGGGGAUGCUAUGAUUGAAUAUUUUUAUAACUUUGGUUUCCAUGUCCUCUUGACAAGUACCCAUUCUUUCCCCCCUUCUCCUUCCUCUCUUCCCUUCUCACCCACACACAUGCAUGCUUGUGCUGAGGGAGAGGGGGUGGUGGGUGGAGAAGGAGAGGGAGGGGGAGAUGGAGAGGGAGAGGGAGGGGGAGAGGGAGAGGAAGAGGGAGGGGGAGGGGGAGAGGGAGAGGGAGGGGGAUAUGGAGAGGGAGAAGAAUCCAGAACAAGGUACAACACCCUAGGACAUACCCCUAGUGUGUCCUUCAUCUAGCUAAGCCCUACCUUCUAAAGCUUCUAGAACCUUCAAAAUAGUGCCACUAAUUAGUGACCAAGAAUCCAAUCCAUGAGCUGUGGGGGACAUUUUAUCUUCAAUCUGUAACAUAUAGGAUGAUAGCACAAGGCCUAAAUGGCCAGUGAAGGAGCCUAGGGAAGAAGCAAAAGAGAUUCUGCACCUAGCCCAGAGCAUCCAGGCAUUGAGGGCUUUACUUUGUUGCUAUAGUGUUAGAUCGUCAAUGCUCUCUAAAGGCCUGUGUGUGGAAGGGUCCAGAAACACCCCAGAACAGUUUCCUGAGGAGAUAUUUAGUAUUGAAGACUAAAGGUUUUUUUUUUUAAUUAAAAAAGAAGAAAGGUGGUUAUGGCUUGUUUUUUAUGUGCACUUUUAUUUAUUUAGUGUGUGUGUGUGAGCAUGGGUACACAUGUGUGCCACAGCAUCUUGGUGCAGGUUCAAGUGCAACUUGUAGGAGCUUGCUGUCUCCAGUCUACCUCCUGGGCCCCUGGGAUUCAGCUCAAGCUGUCAGUCUUGGUGGAAGGUGCCCUCUCCGCUGAGCCAUCUCACUGACCUAAUUAAUCAAUCAAUCAAUCAUUUAUUUAUUUAGACAAAUUUGAUGUUGUUCAAAUAACUUAGAUUAAUUAGAUUAAUUUCUUUUCUUUUCUUUUCUAUUCUUUCUUUCUCUCUUUUUUUCCAUCUUGUUAUUUUGUGUGCACGUCACAGUAUGCACAUGGAGAGCAGAGGACAACUCAAGAGAGCUGGUUCUUUUUGUCCCUACUAUCUGAGUCCCGGGGACUUGAACUCAGGUCAUCAGACUUGGCAGCAGAUGCUUGUAUGCACUGAGCCACCUCGCUGGUCCGUGUGACAAAGAUUUUUAUACCCGAAACCAUACAGUAGGGAGGGAUACACGAUGACGUAAGUGUAUUUUCCUUCCCCAAAAUAGAUGGAUCAGAUGGGAGAUGGAGAGUAGGAGGGGAUGUGUCUGGAGCUUAGAUGCUGGUCCCUGAGAAGAGGCUGAGCCCUCCUGGUGUUUGGGUUAAAUCUUUGGUUGGGUGGGUGUGCAGCUGCGAUCACAGGAGCCUGAAGAAAAAGUCAGAUGCUCUUCGAGAAGGGGAGGGGUGGACUUCUGUCCUACUUUACUUUCUAUUGCUGUGAAAAAGAGCGUGACC